rnacentral:rRNA from 1 species
CGCUGGCGGCGUGCCUAACACAUGCAAGUCGAGCGGAGUUAACAGGAGGAAGUUUUCGGAUGGAAUUUGUUAAUUAGCGGCGGACGGGUGAGUAACGCGUGAGCGACCAACCUUGCACGAGGGGAUAACGGACCGAAAGGUUCACUAAUACCGCAUGAGACCACGGUGUUGCAUGACACAGAGGUACAAAGGAGCAAUCCGGUGCAAGACGGGCUCGCGUCCGAUUAGGUAGUUGGUGGGUAAUGGCCCACCAAGCCUAUGAUCGGUAGCCGACCUGAGAGGGUGAUCGGCCACAUUGGAACUGAGAUACCGGUCCAAACUCCGUACGGGAGGCAGCAGGUGGGGAAUUAGUUGGGACCAAGUGGGGGAAACCCUGACCCAGCAACGCCGCGUGAAGGAAGUAAGGUUUCGGAUUGUAAACUUCUGUCCUUGGUGAAGAGAAGAAGACGGUAGCCAAGGAGGAACGCCCCGGCUAACUACGUGCCAGCCGCCGC